UACGUAGGGUGCAAGCGUUUGUCCGGAAUUAUUGGGCGUAAAGAGCUCGUAGGCGGUUUGUCGCGUCUGCUGUGAAAUCUGGGGGCUCAACCCCCCAGCCUGCAGUGGGUACGGGCAGACUAGAGUGCGGUAGGGGAGAUUGGAAUUCCUGGUGUAGCGGUGGAAUGCGCAGAUAUCAGGAGGAACACCAAUGGCGAAGGCAGAUCUCUGGGCCGUAACUGACGCUGAGGAGCGAAAGCAUGGGGAGCGAACAGG
rnacentral:rRNA from 1 species